rnacentral:rRNA from 1 species
UGCAGUCGUACGUGAAAGUUCCGCAAGGAACAAGUAAAGUGGCGAACGGGUGAGUAAUACAUAGGUAAUCUACUUAUAAGUUCGGGAUAACAGUUCGAAAGGAUUGCUAAUACCGGAUAAUGUGCUUAGUCAAAAGAUUAAGUACCAAAGGUGGCCUCUUCACAAUGCUAUCGAUUAUAAAUGAGCCUAUGGACCAUUAGUUAGUUGGCAGGGUAAUGGCCUACCAAGACAAAGAUGGUUAGCUGGUCUGAGAGGAUGACCAGCCACACUGGAACUGAAACACGGUCCAGACUCCUACGGGAGGCAGCAGUGGGGAAUAUUGCGCAAUGGGGGAAACCCUGACGCAGCAACGCCGUGUGAGCGAUGAAGGCCUUCGGGUUGUAAAGCUCUGUUAAAUAAGAAGAAACUCCCAUAUUCUAAUACAAUAUGGGAUUGACGGUAUUAUUAGAGAAAGCACCGGCUAACUCCGUGCCAGCAGCCGCGGUAAGACGGAGGGUGCAAGCGUUGUUCGGAAUUACUGGGCGUAAAGGGCGUGUAGGCGGUCUAAUAAGUUAGGUGUGAAAUCUUCAGGCUCAACCUGAAAAGUGCACUUAAAACUGUUAAACUAGAGAGUGGUA